rnacentral:lncRNA from 1 species
UUUUCCCCAAUUCAACCUAAUUCCUAAACCCUUCUAGCACCCGCCACACAAGAUUCAACCUAAAAGCUUUUGUUCAUGCAAGAUUCAAGUGCACAGCAACAUAAGAACGCAAAUGAAGGUGAUCUGUUGUGAUCCAAGAAAAGUGCCUUGAAGCACUACAAGCUUAGAGAAGUGGCUCAAUAUAAAUGAAUAAAAGAAACAUGUUUUGAGAAAUAAAGAUUUCCCAGUGAAAUCAUGUUAAUGUAAAUUAACAGGGUUUAUCCCUAAAGUAUGUAAUAAAGUAAACG